UACGUAGGGUGCAAGCGUUGUCCGGAAUUAUUGGGCGUAAAGAGCUCGUAGGCGGCUUGUCACGUCGGCUGUGAAAACCUGGGGCUCAACCCCGGGCCUGCAGUCGAUACGGGCAGACUGGAGUUCGGCAGGGGAGACUGGAAUUCCUGGUGUAGCGGUGAAAUGCGCAGAUAUCAGGAGGAACACCGGUGGCGAAGGCGGGUCUCUGGGCCGUAACUGACGCUGAGGAGCGAAAGCGUGGGGAGCGAACAGG
rnacentral:rRNA from 1 species